AUUGAACGCUGGCGGCAGGCUUAACACAUGCAAGUCGGACGGUAACAGGAGGAAAGCUUGCUUUCUUUGCUGACGAGUGGCGGACGGGUGAGUAAUGCUUGGGAAUCUGUUUUAUGGAGGGGGAUAACUACGGGAAACUGUAGCUAAUACCGCGUAAUAUCGAGAGAUUAAAGUGUGGGACCGUAAGGCCACACGCCAUAGAGUGAGCCCAAGUGGGAUUAGGUAGUUGGUGGGGUAAAGGCCUACCAAGCCGUCGAUCUCUAGCUGGUCUGAGAGGAUGACCAGCCACACUGGGACUGAGACACGGCCCAGACUCCUACGGGAGGCAGCAGUGGGGAAUAUUGCACAAUGGGCGCAAGCCUGAUGCAGCCAUGCCGCGUGAAUGAAGAAGGCCUUCGGGUUGUAAAGUUCUUUCGGUGGUGAGGAAGGUUGUAAUGUUAAUAGCAUUAUAAUUUGACGUUAGCCACAGAAGAAGCACCGGCUAACUCCGUGCCAGCAGCCGCGGUAAUACGGAGGGUGCGAGCGUUAAUCGGAAUAACUGGGCGUAAAGGGCACGCAGGCGGAUACUUAAGUGAGGUGUGAAAGCCCUGGGCUUAACCUAGGAAUUGCAUUUCAUACUGGGUAUCUAGAGUAUUUUAGGGAGGGGUAGAAUUCCACGUGUAGCGGUGAAAUGCGUAGAGAUGUGGAGGAAUACCGAAGGCGAAGGCAGCCCCUUGGGGGAAUACUGACGCUCAUGUGCGAAAGCGUGGGGAGCAAACAGG
rnacentral:rRNA from 1 species